ensembl:ncRNA lncRNA:CR44540 long non-coding RNA:CR44540
GUUUUUCAGUGGAGCAGGCCUGUCAAUUGCCGGGAGAUUGAUGCCCCUGGAUAAUAGCGACGCGAACAAUUUGCAGACGACAACACGCCGCAAAACCGAGAAGACAAACUUGGAGCUCCUUGGCCUUUUUUCCUGGCUAAAAUAAGACGGACAAAAAGAAAAACCAGAGACAGAUGGAGACGCGACAUCAUCUCCAACGGUGGUCUGUGGCGACAACUGAAUGACAACUCUUUAGGCCGUCCGCGCUAACGGUAUUUCAGCUGAGCAAGUUAUUUGCCCAAAAGCGGCCAGGAAAACAUUCGAAGUGUUGACAUGGCUCAGACGGGUGACAAAGGCGCAUGCGUGACACCCCCAGGAGAUGGAUGAUUAAUCCCGGGACGGGUAGGGGCAUUGGAAUUUGGUAUUGGAGUUCAAAGAUAAACCAAGACUUUGGCCAACUUCUCUAUGCAAUAUGGUAAACAAUUCUUUGCGUUCGAAGACAGGGACAAAUUCCUGGCCAGCUGUCCCAGCUCAAUUAGCCAUCAAGAUCACCGCGACUUUGACUCCGCGAACAGGGGAAUUGUUCUUGGCCAACAGCUGGAUGUUUGGAUGGCUGGUUGGCUGGGCAGACGGGAUGGAUGGAUAGACAAAGGCCCCAUUGUUCGGCCCUCCGGCAGGAUGCAAUAAAAUGCAGGUGCAUAUCCCACAUCCAUCUCCAGAUACAGCUUUGAAUUCAACUUCGACUGCAGUUGCACUUGAAAAAAUGUUUGUCAUAUGAUUUCUAUGAUUUUAUAACAUAUAUUUU